CGGUUGGCCAAGAGCAUGUCCAGUGCCCUCUGGGAUCCGCUCUUUCCCUGAAUAUUGGAAGGACUCCCAAAAGAAAGGAAAUUUCUUUCUGCUUUAAAAAGCCUGAUCUAGCUUGUUGAAACACCAGUCUUACCAAAAAGCAGACUUUCUUGGCCGUGGAGGAAAGGGCUGACUUUGUUCCUGGUGGAGGUCGCAUUACAAUCUCUUGGAAGUUUAGCUAACUCCUGGUCUGAAGGAUGCGACAACGCUUCUCCUAGGAACCAGAGCCUCGGGGGAGAGGAGGCGGAGAGCAGCCGCUUCUCCUAACGUCGAUACUGCUUUCCGUAACGCGCCGUGAGCUUCAGGUCUCAAAAGUGACAGAAUUAGGGACAGCACAGAAAUCAAGUCUACAAAAGCUCAGAGCGGAGCCCUAGGACGGAGGAAGACUGCCGUGAAGCUGUGCUCCCCGAGGGCAGCGCGACCGGAGCGGGGCGGUGGGCAGGCUGGCUCGGGCGGGGGCCGGGAGCUGAACAUCUCCGUCCUUCAAAGCCGGCUCUGUGUGGGGAGCCAGGGCGGGGUGCAGAACCUCAGCUCUUCUGGUGCUGGUGCAGGUACCAAAUGAAGGGGGCACCUAUUCAUAGUGAAUUUGUCCAGCUUCUCGUGAUUGUCUGGGUAGAUAAAAGGAAAUGGAAAUUUGCCCAAUUAGCUGUUUCCACGUACAAUUAUCUGGUUUCCAUGCCUGAAGUAUGAUAACUGCAUGCCUAAAGCAGACAUCCAGCUUCACGCACGCUUGCAGUGCUCCAUCGAGUUCCUAACUUCUCUUGCAAAUGCAGCUUGCAGUGGGGAAUGUCAAAAACUCUUGUUAUCCAACACUGCAGAGUGGAUUAUUGAGCGUCUCUUGCACUCUGUAAAAUGAUGACAUUCACUAAUACCUUUCAACAUCUGCUGAAGGUAUUUGUCUAAAUAUACAUAUACAACACGAGGGGACAUUUUGCAGCAAUACCAAUUGAUGCAUUUUUCUAAACUUGUGUGUGCUGCUUUAAAGGGUUUAAUUUACCGUACAGUAUGAUAACGUCUCCGGCAAACUGGUCGGGGCUGUUCCUGCAGAAGAAGCAGGAAGUUUGAAGCAGGAAGCAUUUUUUCACUCUCAUGGUUUAUAUUGUCACCAGAAGUCCUUGAUAAAGCUAUAACUGCAUCUGUCAGGCAAGGAUUUUGUCAGCCCCAAAAGCUGUUAUUAGGAGACCCGUGAGAGGGGUCUGCUUUUCUACAAUAUUAAUAGCUAGCUACUGCACUAUGCUCCAGACAAAUAUUCUUCUUUUGUCCUGUAGGAAUGCAUGCACAUGUACUUUCCAGUUUAAUGUUAUAUGUAGUCUAAUCUGAAUGUUCUGCCUUCCUAAUCAGAUACAAACUGUGUUCGCUAAAACUGCAUUAAUAAAAACUUCAUUAUAAAAUGAUAAUAUCCCCUAACUUUGGAAGAACACUCUCAUGUUAAAAAAGUCCCAUGUAAGAAGUUUUCUCUUACCUAGUCUGGCAUAACACCAUCUCCGAUAAAUAAACUGAAAGAGGUUUACAUUUCAA